UUUGUACUCCCUCCGUUCGGAAUUACUUGUCGCGAAAAUGGAUGUAUCUAGACGUAUUUUAGUUCUAGAUACAUCCAUUUCCGAGACAAGUAAUUCCGAACGGAGGGAGUACUUU
rnacentral:pre_miRNA from 1 species